AGGGUGAGAUAAAUAAUAACAGCUCUGAGCUUGGAUAAAUUAUUAUUAUUAUUUUUUAAAUUCACGGAAACGAGACGAGAGGUUCAUUCAUGUAUUUGGUUUUAUUUCAACGAUUUCUUCUCCUGUCAUAAAAACCACAGCCAGCAAAAGCAGUCUACAGUCGCAGAGAGAACACCUGAUUGCAUCAAUUCAUUCUACUAGCUUUUCUUAUUAUAAUUUUUUUUUUUUACAUUUUAAAUCUAAAACAUUAAAACUCAAAGCGAGAUAGUCGUACAGUCGUAGGUGUGCAUCGGGGAGUCCUCUGUGAGGUGGGUCAGGGGCCGUAGUCCUUUUUGUAAGCUCCUGAAAUCGGUCCGAGUGGUUGCAGGCAGCCAUUUUUUAUUCGGCUAAAGUAAGACGUGAGGUGAGGUGUCUGUGGAGAGAUUUUCAGCUGAAACGCCGUCAACAAGAUCCAGGCAGAAGAAGUCAUAAUCAAGAAAAACAAGCAACAUACAAAAGAAAGAAAAAAAACACAUAAGUACUGUUUUAACACGCCCUCUUGAAGUCUUCCAUUUGGUAGCAACGUCUUCGGCAUCUUAAAGGAGCAGUGUGCGAUAUUUAGCGCCCUCUGCUGCUUAUGAGGUAAAGUAAUGGAAACAAUUACAUCUUAUAUAUUUUCCCUUUCCCCUAAUAAACAACCCCACCUUAUCUGGUGAAACAGAGUUUUCCUUGUAAGAUGUGUUGUAAGAAAACCAGCACAGACUGAACUGCUCUGUUCUGCCUUGCGGGUUGGAGCUAAUUUUACGGGCCGUAAAGAAUUUAAACACAAGCCAGAAACAAAAACUAGUCGAGUUGAUUAUAUGGUAAUUUGCAAAAUACAAUUUUGCUAAGGAAUUUUGUUUACAUUUCUUUAUUGCUACAAGUCUAGAAAGAAAUUUUAAAACGACAUACUGCACCUUUAAACUGUUAAAGGUGCGGCAUGUCAUUUUAAAAUUUCUUCCUACAUUGGUGAAAUGAAUCUUGUUCCAUUUAUUAGACUUUGCAAGGCAAACUGCAUUGCCGUUAUCUAGUCAGCAAGCUUUUCCACCCCUUUUCUAGACAAUCAAUCUCAUAUUGCAUUAAUAGUGUGACUCCAACCACCUGCUGUCAGACUCCGCCCCCACUCACAGUCGUAACCAAUGCAUUAUAUCUGAAUCCCUUUUAAGGCCCUGGAUUUCAUAUAAUGCAUUUGUUAUAAGUCUCCGCCCACUUCUAGGCCCACACUCCUACAGCCCACCCUCUUUUAAGGCCCAUUUCAUCUCCCACUGUCACAUAAUGCAUUUAUAGCAAGACUCCACCCAUUUAUAACACUCCAUAUCUCAAUAUAAUGCAUUAGUAAAGAGUUCCCCG
ensembl:lncRNA